GGAGUCAGGCGGGCGACGGCCUCGGGAAACCGGGGAGGAAAGUCCGGACUGCACAGGGCAGGGUGCCAGGCGCAAGCCUGGGCGGGGCGACCCGACGGACAGGGCCACAGAAAACAAACCGCCUCGGUCGCAAGGCACGGGGUAAGGGUGAAACGGUGAGGUAAGAGCUCACCAGCGGGCGGGGCAACUCGUUCGGCUUGGUAACCCCCAUUCGCAGCAAGGCCAAAUAGGGAGGGGUUGAUCCGGCCCGGUGACCCUCCGGGUAGGCCGCCGAGAGAAAUCGUCGUACAAAGACAGAAUCCGGCUUAUAGCCUGACUCCACUU
rnacentral:RNase_P_RNA from 1 species